UGGGGAAUAUUGGACAAUGGGCGAAAGCCUGAUACAGCCAUGCCGCGUGUGUGAAGAAGGUCUUCGGAUUGUAAAGCACUUUAAGUUGGGAGGAAGGGCAGUAAGCGAAUACCUUGCUGUUUUGACGUUACCGACAGAAUAAGCACCGGCUAACUCUGUGCCAGCAGCCGCGGUAAUACAGAGGGUGCAAGCGUUAAUCGGAAUUACUGGGCGUAAAGCGCGCGUAGGUGGUUCGUUAAGUUUAAUGUGAAAGCCCCGGGCUCAACCUGGGAACUGCAUCCAAAACUGGCGAGCUAGAGUAGGGCAGAGGGUGGUAGAAUUUCCUGUGUAGCGGUGCAAUGCGUAGAUAUAUGAAGGAACACCAGUGGCGAAGGCGACCACCUGGGCUCAUACUGACACUGAGGUGCGAAAGCGUGGAGAGCAAACAGG
rnacentral:rRNA from 1 species